GGGGCAAUCGGGUGCUUACACAUGCAGUCGAGCGGUAAGGCCCUUCGGGGUACACGAGCGGCGAACGGGUGAGUACCCUUGGGUGAUCUGCCUUGCACUCUGGGAUAAGCCUGGGAAACUGGGUCUAAUACCGGAUAUGAGCCUGGACUGCAUGGUCCGGGUUGGAAAGGUUUACUGGUGCGAGAUGGGCCCGCGGCCUAUCAGCUUGUUGGUGGGGUAACGGCCUACCAAGGCGACGACGGGUAGCCGACCUGAGAGGGUGACCGGCCACACUGGGACUGAGACACGGCCCAGACUCCUACGGGAGGCAGCAGUGGGGAAUAUUGCACAAUGGGCGAAAGCCUGAUGCAGCGACGCCGCGUGAGGGAUGACGGCCUUCGGGUUGUAAACCUCUUUUGACAGGGACGAAGCGCAAGUGACGGUACCUGUAGAAGAAGCACCGGCCAACUACGUGCCAGCAGCCGCGGUAAUACGUAGGGUGCGAGCGUUGUCCGGAAUUACUGGGCGUAAAGAGCUUGUAGGCGGUCUGUCGCGUCGAUUGUGAAAACUUGCAGCUCAACUGCAAGCUUGCAGUCGAUACGGGCAGACUAGAGUACUUCAGGGGAGACUGGAAUUCCUGGUGUAGCGGUGAAAUGCGCAGAUAUCAGGAGGAACACCGGUGGCGAAGGCGGGUCUCUGGGAAGUAACUGACGCUGAGAAGCGAAAGCGUGGGUAGCGAACAGGAUUAGAUACCCUGGUAGUCCACGCCGUAAACGGUGGGUACUAGGUGUGGGUUUCCUUCCACGGGAUCCGUGCCGUAGCUAACGCAUUAAGUACCCCGCCUGGGGAGUACGGCCGCAAGGCUAAAACUCAAAGGAAUUGACGGGGGCCCGCACAAGCGGCGGAGCAUGUGGAUUAAUUCGAUGCAACGCGAAGAACCUUACCUGGGUUUGACUUCCCCCGGAAAGCUGUU
rnacentral:rRNA from 1 species